rnacentral:rRNA from 1 species
GACGGAGGAUGCAAGCGUUAUUCGGAAUUAUUGGGCGUAAAGGGCGCGUAGGCGGUUGAAUAAGUCAGAUGUGAAAGCCCUUGGCUUAACCAAGGAAGUGCAUUUGAUACUAUUUGACUUGAGUAUGGGAGAGGGAAGUGGAAUUCCUGGUGUAGAGGUGAAAUUCGUAGAUAUCAGGAGGAACACCGGUGGCGAAAGCGACUUCCUGGACCAAUACUGACGCUGAGGCGCGAAGGCGUGGGGAGCAAACAGG